GAUGAACGCUGGCGGCGUGCCUAAUACAUGCAAGUCGAGCGAACGGACGAGAAGCUUGCUUUUCUGAUGUUAGCGGCGGACGGGUGAGUAACACGUGGAUAACCUACCUAUAAGACUGGGAUAACUUCGGGAAACCGGAGCUAAUACCGGAUAAUAUUUUGAACCGCAUGGUUCAAAGGUGAAAACCGGCUUUCUUUUCCUUAUAGGUUGAUCCGCGCUGCAUUAGCUAGUUGGUAAGGUAACGGCUUACCAAGGCAACGAUGCAUAGCCGACCUGAGAGGGUGAUCGGCCACACUGGAACUGAGACACGGUCCAGACUCCUACGGGAGGCAGCAGUAGGGAAUCUUCCGCAAUGGGCGAAAGCCUGACGGAGCAACGCCGCGUGAGUGAUGAAGGUCUUCGGAUCGUAAAACUCUGUUAUUAGGGAAGAACAUAUGUGUAAGUAACUGUGCACAUCUUGACGGUACCUAAUCAGAAAGCCACGGCUAACUACGUG
rnacentral:rRNA from 1 species